CAUUUGUUCUGCUGACAGCAUCAGGUUUUCCCGAGCAUCACUGGGUUACGAAGGACAAGAGAUGUGGCCCAGUUUCUUCUGACCUAUGCCGUGCCCUGCUCUGUAGCCACGGACUUGCCUCUGCCCCGCUUGUGCUCCUCUAGGGAAUUCUAGGGAAUUUUAACCCUAAAUCGCACUAUUUUUAUGAUUUGAUUUUUAAUUUUACCUAUUUUGUAUUUUUAUAUUUUUAUAACAUAUUUAACUUGAAAUUACAAAUAUUGUAUGUUAUGUUAAGCAACUUAAUUAUAUAUAAUAUUAAGCAACUUGCAUAUAAAAAUAAAUAUAAAAAUACUUAUAUAUUUAUAACAACUAUUUUAUAAACUAAUAGCUCAUCUCUGCAUAUGACCUAUUUAUUUAAUCCAGUUUCUGAAGUGCCAUAAGCUAAAUAUAAUAUUUCGUUCAGGAGAUGUCAAUUUGUCAUUUUUCAAUAUUGUUUUGUAUCCUGAAUAUUUUCUGACCUUUUCCUUCUCAGCAUUCUGCACCAAAAAUAACACCAAUAAUUAGUUUUACUUCCUUAGUCUGGCUGAAGGAAAGAAAAUGAUUGCAUUGGUUUCUCUCCACCAAGCAGUUCCCCUGUUAAUUUUUAAUGACCUAGCUCAGUCAUAUUUGGCAGCCGGGUGGAAAGCCUCAGAGGUGACCGAUUUUUGCUAACUUCAGGAAAAGAGAUGUCUGGGUAAGGAAGGAAGGACAAGAUUGCCUCAUCAGUCCCCUUCAGGAGGGGGAGCCAGGAUUCAGCUCUCAUCCCUCUGUCCAGCAUAUGCUGAACAGAAUAGCAGGAGGGGAAAUAGUAGAGCACUCACUUUGUGUGUUUUGGACCUGGCAUAAAUGUAGGUUUACUGUGGUUGCAGGGAAAGGAGGAACAGGAGACAACAUUUUAUGGGAAAUCAGACUUUAUUAAUUCCUCUGUCUAUUAAAAAUUACUGUCCUUUUUUUCUUGCCCCUUUCUUCCGUUGUCAUAUACUUAACAGUCAUGACUAUGAUUUUAAUGCAGCUGAGGAAAUGUAUUUAUUAUCUUUUGAUAAUUGCACAAAGCCUGAUAUCAAUCCCUCAUUUCCUUGCUUGCGUUUUAACCGCUGCAUUGUCCUGUCAAAGGACUAAGACUUCUUCACUUAGCUGUGUGAAAUUCCCAACUGCUGCAAGAAGAAAUUGCCAUCCUCAUUUGGGACCUGUGGCCCCAAAAGCUGACGUUGUGUAACCUCUCUAUCUAAGUCCAGAAUGCACUUUUUCGUGGCUGGCUGCCAAAUUCUGCAGUGGAACACACAGCUACAGCUCAGAAAAGGAAACUCCUUCUCUCUGCACAAGUUUUCCUUUAACUUCUUUGCGGGGUUGUCCUGUUUGGCUGGGAGCUGGUUUGUGUUGUGCAAAGCCGGUGCAGUGUGAUCACAGCAGGGUUAACACCGCUUCCGCGUUCAGCGCUCCCCGGGCACUUGUUAAUCGUGUUGGUGCCUUGCAGUACAGUUUGUUCUUUCCGGUGUAACCAGCAGCAAAGCAGGGUCCCGUCAAAAAGAAGAAAUACAGGUUCCUUUACAUAGCAUAGGAAUUUCCAGCUUGUGCAAAUCGGCUCCAAGAUUGAAAGAAGUGAGAUAUAUAAAGCUGGAAAUGUCUGUGUAUUUUGCCAGAUGGUACCUUUCAGAAUGCAAUAGGAUUGUCCAGCUGUCUGGAGAAACCUUUAAAUAUCCUGGAAUAUGGUGGAAGCAGUACUGAUAGAUCUGUUCAGCCUUGCACCCGACUUGCAGAACAACAUCCAAGGAUUACUACACAACACUCUGGAAGCUAUUGAGAAAUGCUCUUCCAUCCAUGCUCCAUUUGUUUAUGUCAUGUGUUGCCAGAGGCAGGGGAGUGAAAGGAAAGGUGAACAAGAGUUCUUGCUUCCAGCUCUGAGAGGUUUUUGGAAUCUGAAGAGAAGACUGGAGGUGGUAUGUGCUCAGACUACAGCUGCUGCUUUGUACACCAUCAAACAGAGACUGGAUGAAAAAGACCUGAGCAUCAUUAAAGUUAUUCUCCCUACCUUAAGAAAAGACUUAAUGAAAGUAUAUAUUGACCAUCUCUUUACAACAGUCUAUCAGUUUGAAUUCGAGGAUUUACAGGUGGUACCUGACAGUGACAGCCUGCAGAUAUCAGAACAUCAGCAUGAAGGGCAAACACUUCCUUCACAGGACAGGGCACUCAUCCAAAGUGAGAUUCAGAUGUACUUGGAAAGCCUGCCAAGCCUGAAAGGGGAGCUCACCAUCCUCAGAUCUUCCCUGAUCCCAGAUGAUAUUUUCUUACAUGGGUUCACCACAAGGACAGGUGGGAUCUCCUACAUUCCAACUCUAAGCUCCUGCAAUCUCUUCAGCAGCUCCAAGCGGAGGGACCCACAAGUUGUUGUUAAAGAAAAUCUCCGCCGGCUAGCUAAGGCUGCAGGAUUUAACCCAGAGGCUUUUCACAGAGUCAAGGUAGAUCACGCUAAUGCUGUGUGUAUUAUGGGAAAGACAGAGCCUGACAACUAUGAUGGAAUAGUUACGAAUCAGAAGGGUGUCACGCUGGCAGCUCCAGGUGCUGACUGCAUACCCGUGCUCUUUGCUGAUCCUGUCAGAAGAGCCUGCGGUGCUGCUCAUUCCGGAUGGAAGGGCACAUUGUUAGGUGUAUCUAUGGCCACAGUGAAUGCUAUGGUUUCUGAAUACGGCUGUAAUGUGAAAGAUAUCCUUGUGGUGCUGGGCCCGUCUGUGGGACCUUGCUGCUACAAACUUCCUCAUGAAUCAGCAAAAGAAUUUCACAGAAUUGAUCCAAAUUGUGUGAGACUAUUUGACUCUGCAAGUCCUUAUAUCGAUAUCAGAAGAGCAACGAGGAUUCUUCUUGAGAGAGGUGGGAUUCUUCCCGAGAACAUCCAAGAUGAUUCUAUCACAGACCAGAACCGAAACAUCACUUUCUGUACUGCAUGCCACCCUGAUAAAUUUUACUCUCACUUUCGUGAUGGCACUAACUUUGGGACACAGAUUGGCUUCAUAUCAAUCAAAGACUGAGACAGUAUCUCUUACUCUAGAACAGCAUUUAGAUAAUAAGUCUGCUGCAUCAUCUGGCAUCCUGCUCUCCGCAUAGAAGUUUUUCCUCCUUUCUUUCACAGACUUGUAGUAGGGAAUCCAUGGGUCAUGAGAUUCUCCUGCUUGUUCCAUCCCUUUCCCUUUUGAGGCAAGAAUAAGUACCUGUGCUGUGGGGACAACAGUUCUUGUAUGAGACAGGGUGCAAAGGAAACAAGGACAAACCACGCCAGUGGCAAAAUCCUUCUACAAGAUCCAGAUACAAGCUCCAAGUUUAUGGAUCCUCCUUGACCAAAUAUUUUCCAGAAAUCUCACUGUCUUAAGUUGGUGGAAGCCCAAAAAACACCAGUCUUCAUUAGCUUCUGGUUGAGACUGCUGAAUGACACUAAGUAUGACAUUGCUAAUACAGGAAGGGAAGCCAGCAUUGCAUGUUACCUGUUUGAGACACUCAACUUUGAUAGUUUCAGCUGAAGCCUUACAAAAUUUUGUGCAUGGGAUUAAUUUUCUUCUUUGGAUUAGUUUAAAGAACUCCAAAAUAAUUACAGGAAUUUUCCUAUGGAAAAUAACUUGAAGCUGGCUUCAAACCAGAGUCUCAGGAUCCAACAGGGGCAGCACUCACACUACUCAGCUGAGAGUUGUCAAGCACAUUGCUGCAUACCAGCUAAUGGUGUGUAUGGUAUGUGUUACGUGUAUUAUUGACUUGUUCUAAAUAUAGGAUAGUAUAAUUAUAUGGAGACUGGCAGGCUUAUCUUGCUACCCUAAUUAAAAACACCAACACAACAGACUACCUUAACCUUUUAGUUCUGUCCCUUCACCCUGGUUUCUGUUCCGGUUAUGGGUACUGACUGACGUAGCAGUGAGGUGUGUAAGGUUCCUUCUUGAAGCUACAGGGGCAGUGGCACUACAUGACUUUCAGUCCCUGCAUCUGAAGCUCAGCCAAAGCUGAGUGCCCUUCACCUAAACCUUUUCCCUUGUGUAUCAAGAGUAUGCCAUCAAAAACAGCUGAGUUACUCGGUUCUGCAAGGUACUGACAGCUGAAGCAUCAUAGGGGCCCAUGUGCCUGCUGUUAUCCCAUCUCAUCUCAAAAUUGGCUUUAAACUAAUUCAUUUAUUCUUCCAGUAAGUACAAAAACCUUGCAGUCAUGCUACUUACCACAGUUCAAAUGCUCAGCAGUAUAUUUGGUCACAUUAACAUGAUACUGAGAGUAAGCCCUGUCUUGUUCUUACCUGCUCAAGGAUUGCAGUAGAGAUUUUACGUUUAGAAAAAUGCCAUUUACAGGUCAUGGUAAGGCUGUGCAAGCUGGAGACUAUCAGAAUGAGCAGGAACACCAAAGGCUUCACCUUUUGGAAGACAAAUCAUUACCACAAUUGUUUUUUUUUUUGGUUUUUUUUUUUUUCUUUUAUAUGAAUUACCUAGACUGUAAACUUUUCAAGACAGGAAACAUUCUUUUGCACAUGGAUGACAGAGGUGGAAAACUCCAUGACCGAUAAGAAAAUAUUGUAAGGUUCAGUCUCAAAUCAGGCUAGGCUCUGAAUCAUUACUUCUUUCAAAAGUCCUUGCUACAAAAGCAUUGUAAUCCUGGUAUUAAAAAAAAAAGUUUGGAGGCAAGGCGUGACAAGAAGGGGACUAAGCUGUUUCAUAUCUGUUUAUUUACUUUUCAUUCUUGCUGCUCAUUGAAGGAGGCAAGCACAACACUCCUGAUUCAUCACCUCUAGAGAAGCUCUUAAAAUACUUCAUAAAUUGUUCAGCUGUACCUAACUAAUUACCAGAUCCCAUUUAUUAACCUAAUAUCCAUUGAAUUUAUAAGCUGCAUUUGCCCUAUUAUUGUAAUUAAAUGACAUUAUUAAUUAUGAUAAUGGUGUGCCCUGAGGAGAGCACACGACAUGAUCACAUUGAAUAUUGGUUUUGCUAGUUGUUACUGUGCAAUUAACAUUUGUUGCUAUUGUAGAUUCUCUAUAUGGGCCUUUUUAUUUACAUUACAUGCUUGAAUGAAGUGUACUGAAACAUGUCUGAGAGAGGCUUUAUUCACUAUUCCAGUAGAAGAGGGCAGCUCUAGCAAAGAUGUCUGCCUGGGGAAGCAGUGUGCAACUUCAGAGAAAUAGAUCAAAGCCGGAGAUAAUUAGUGAAAUGUUUAUCCAAACCAUGUCAUUUAUUGCCAUAGGCAUAGCAAAGGUGAAAACUAUUAAGGAAAUUAAAUGAAAAAUGUUUUUAAUGCAUUUGUAGAAGUCAGUUCCAUCAGUGACUGCUGGUCUCUCUGUGCUGACAACCUGAGGAGACAGGAUGGGGGCAAGGCAGUUUUGCAUUUGACAGUUGCCUUUUUGAUUGGCUACAAAUUCAGAAGCCAUGGGCCUGGAUGUUCAGCAAAAUAUAUGGGCACAUCUUGACUCACAGAAAGUAUGUCAUCCCUCCCAAAUUACAUGCAUUCAAUUACAGGAAAGCAUCUCCUUUCCCCAGCAGUAUCAUGGUCUUGCAAAGUGGUAGUCUUUGCUUGUGUUGUUUUCCUCAUGCUUAUCAUCACUGCAUUUCUGUCCAGCACCUCUCAAAAUCCCCCUGUGAGGACUGUGAAUCUGGUCACAGGGGGAUGGAAGAUACAGAUGCUAUUCUGCUCAGAGCAGCACCAGUGCUAUUUUCUUUUGUAUGCUUGUGCUUUUUUUUCUUUUAGCAGCAGUGUGAAACUUCUUGUUCUCAGCACAGGGUCUUUAUCACUAUCCUCCAAACCAUUCCCAUUUUACAGGUUUCCAAAAGAGCUACAGCUUUUCAGCUUACAAAGCAAAGAAGCCAAUAUUCCUAGAUUCCUUCACUGCUGUCCUCAUUUCCACUCCCUGUUCAAUUUGCUGCUGGGCAAUGCAAAGAGGGAGAUGAGCUGCACUCAUUUGUGCUGAGGCCCAGAGGGGCUGUGUGUGUGCACUCGCCUCGAUGUCAUGUGUGUGAAGCUUUUGUUCUCUGAGUACUGAAGUCCUUCCUGAACUCCAGCCUCUUGUGCAACAAUAUUAACAGGAGAGUGCACUGACAGGAGUGGUAAAUCCUAUAUGUGACAGAGGAAAUAGUGUAUUGACCUGCUGAGGGAUUUACAUACCUCCAAAGGCUGACAACAAGCUCUGCCUGUGAGGCUCACUUGUUCUACUUUCCAUUUCCAGCAGAUAUUAUCCAGUGCUUACAGAUGAAUGACUUGGAUAGAUAUGUAUGUGGAUUUAAAAACUGUCCUGGUUGAGUAUAUUCUUUUAUCCAGAAUGCUACUAAUCAUUUACAAAAUACAGAGAUUUUGCUGUUGUGCUUGCUUUAAAUAUACAGUGCCUAUGGCUGUACAGCUAAAAAGCAUGAUUAUGUAUUUCCCAAAGGCAUGCAGAGAAAUAGGAAGCUAGCUUUUUUAAGUGGUCCCUCUGAUCUUUCAUUAAUAAGUG